rnacentral:rRNA from 1 species
UACGAAGGGGGCUAGCGUUGCUCGGAAUCACUGGGCGUAAAGGGUGCGUAGGCGGGUUUUUAAGUCAGGGGUGAAAUCCUGGAGCUCAACUCCAGAACUGCCUUUGAUACUGAAGAUCUUGAGUCCGGGAGAGGUGAGUGGAACUGCGAGUGUAGAGGUGAAAUUCGUAGAUAUUCGCAAGAACACCAGUGGCGAAGGCGGCUCACUGGCCCGGUACUGACGCUGAGGCACGAAAGCUAGGGUAGCAAACAGG